GGACAGGGCUGUGCCACUGAGACUCUGGAGCCUGCAGGGUAAAGGCUGCCCAGAGCUAAUUCCUGCUUCUGGCCUUCCUGGGUCCCAGAGGCCUUAGUCCUGACCACACAAUGGAGAAGCCCCUGCAGGCUCUCAAGAGGAAGCCUCGGAACUGGGUUUCGUAUUAACUCCCUCAGGCCUGCCGUAACAAGGGGCUACAAGCUGUGUAUCUUAAAUGACAGACAUGUAUUGCCUCACUGUUCUGGAGGUCUGAAACGCAAUCUGUCAAAAUCGAGUCCCAAAUCAAGGUGUUUGCAAGGUUGGUUGCCUCUGCGGGCAGUGUGGGAGCAUCCGUGUCCUGUAUCUCUCCGAGAUCCUGGUGGUCUGAGGCCAUCUUUGGCAUUCCUUGGCUUGUAGCUGCCUCACUGCCGUCGUCCUGUGACAUGCCCUUGUGUCCCUGUCUUCACAGGGCCGUCUUUUUAUAAGAACCAGUCAUAUUGGAUGAGGGCCCAGCCCCCACUCCAGUAUGACCUCAUCUUAACCGAUUACAUCUGCAAUGACCCCAUUUCCAAAUAAGGUCACACAGUGAGGCUCUGGGGGUUAGCAUUUCAAUCUAUGAAUUUUUGAGUGGAUGGCCUUCAUCCCAUAAUAGGACUGGAGGGCAGAAGCUUUGGACCAGUUAAGCCUCAUCCCCAUGUAUUAUGGUAAAAGCCAAGACAAGAGAGCCUGGAGGUAUCCCAUUUGGGAAAAGGCACCACAGUCGGAAGACUUCUACCCACAGCAGAGGUACAGAGUGACAAAAAGGCGCUCAACUCGAUGUCAGAAUCCCCACGUUCCAACCCCAGUUCUGCCAUCAGAUCCAGGGCAAUUACUUGACUGCCAUGAUUCUCCGGUAAAAGGUUGAGCAUGACCCUGCCCUACCCUCGGAUUUUUGUAGGCAACAGUAUCAUGUGGUGAGCUGAGGUGAGUUUGGGGGAUAGGUUGAGAACAAUGAUACAGCUGAUAUCUUCCAAGAGACUCUGUCCCACAUUUCUUCUGUUUACGUGGCAGCAGAGACCCAAAGCUCCCUGAAUUUGCAGUGACAUUGCUUCCCAUAUGUAGGUUCUCAGGUUUCAGUGUAAGGGGAAGACCAGGGAACAGGCUGAAGAGAAGUGCCCUGUGCUCCAGACCUGGGAAAACAAGAAUUUCCCCAUUCCAGGCUUCUGCCAUGUGUGUGGGGAAAGCAUGACGGCUUCCUAAGGUACUUGUUCUCUCCUGUUCUAGAAACGGAUCUCACCUCCAAGAGAAAAGUGGAUCAAUAGAGCCGUGGGUGUAGCAUCAGUCUUCCCUUGAGUAAAACUGUUCACUCACAGUGUGAAAGUUCUGUUGCUGCCGUAGGAUCCUACAGUGGCAUCCUCUGGGGUUUGGUUUGAUCAUUUAGGAGGGGCGGAAAAAAGCCCUGUUACCUACACAAGACGGUAAGAAGUCUCAUGGAUUCCCAAAAUGCAGACUGGGCACAAGCCUGGCCAAUGGCUGGGGUCAAAUCUGAGACCCUGGGAUUAGAAAUCAUGUGAGUUCCCUCUUUUCCUACCAGCUGGGGACCCUGAAAUAAACCUAUUUUGGCAAAGUAUAGGCCCUGGAUUACCAAAAUAAACAAACUGCAGAAAGGGUUAGGAAUGUUGUGGUAACUUGGUUUACUUUAACAUAAUCCUUUGUGUGUGUGUGUUCAGGGCCGCACUGCAUAUGGAGGUUCCUCGGCUAGGGGUCGAAUGGGAGCCAUGGUGGCCAGCCACAGCCACACCAGAUCCGAGCCGCAUCCAUGACCUGCGCCACAGCUGUGGCCACACUGGGUGAGGGCGGGGAUCCUCAUGGAUCCUAGUUGGGUUUUUAAUUCUCUGAGCCACAACGGGUACUCCUAACAUAAUAUACAUUUUCUUUUUUAUUUAUUUAUUUUUCGUCUUUUUGCUUUUUCUAGGGCCGCUCCCGUGGCAUAUGGAGGUUCCCAGGCUAGGGGUCCAAUCGGAGCUGGAGCCUAUACCAGAGCCACAGCAGCGUGGGAUCUGAGCCGCAUCUGCAACCUACACCACAGCUCAUGUCAACGCCAGAUCGUUAACCCUCCGAGCAAGGGCAGGGAUUGAACCCGCAACCUCAUGGUUCCUAGUCGGAUUCUUUAACCCCUGUGCCACGAUGGGAACUUCAACAUUUUCAUGCAUUAUAUUAUCAGCCUUUUUCCCCAUAAGGUAAGAGUUGGGCCAGUGGCUUCCCUGGGGCAGGGUGAAGACAUUUGGUCCCUGGAAGUGGCAUGAGGGUAACUUCUGAGGUGCUGACGUGUCCUGUCUGCUGGGUCUGUUUAUACAGGUGUCUUCACUUUGAGAAAACUCAUCAAGCUGUAUAGACAUUAAUGCUUUGUGUAAUUUUCUAUGUUACAGUUUUCUUAAAAUUAAGGUUUUGGUUUUGAUUGUUUUUAAUAAGAACACCCCGGGCUAGAGAAGCCACAGUGAAAUGAACGCUCAUAUACUGAGUGGGGGUGCCAUAAGUAGUCACAAGUUUUUUGUUGUUGUUGGUUUUUUUUUUUUUUUGCUUUAUUUUUUUAGGGCCAUACCCACAGCAUAUGGAGGUUCCCAGGCUAGGGGUCAAAUCAGAGCUGCAGCUGCCGG
rnacentral:lncRNA from 9 species